GAUGUGGUUUCCACUUCGGUGGCCUGGACACAGGUGCUGCAUGGCUGUCGUCAGCUCGUGUCGUGAGAUGUUGGGUUAAGUCCCGCAACGAGCGCAACCCUCGCCCUUAGUUGCCAGCAUUUGGUUGGGCACUCUAAGGGGACUGCCGGUGAUAAGCCGAGAGGAAGGUGGGGAUGACGUCAAGUCCUCAUGGCCCUUACGGGCUGGGCUACACACGUGCUACAAUGGUGGUGACAGUGGGCAGCGAGCACGCGAGUGUGAGCUAAUCUCCAAAAGCCAUCUCAGUUCGGAUUGCACUCUGCAACUCGAGUGCAUGAAGUUGGAAUCGCUAGUAAUCGCGGAUCAGCACGCCGCGGUGAAUACGUUC
rnacentral:rRNA from 1 species